rnacentral:misc_RNA from 1 species
CUUCCUUGACAUGGAAAGUCCGAGCACGGAUUAUAGCUGAAAUCUCAAGUGCACUUUGCUUCUUGCACUCUUCUAAACCUGAAAAGAUUAUCCAUGGUGAUCUGAAACCACAAAAUAUCCUACUUGAUUCUGAACUUAGCUGCAAAAUAUGUGAGUUUGGAAUUUGCAGGCUGGUAACAGAUGAUACUCUUUCUUGCCCGAGUUUUCGUAGGGGCACUGAGCCAAAGGGUGCUUUUCCAUAUACGGAUCCAGAGUUCCGAAGAGAGGGGGUUCUGACAACCAAGUCUGAUAUUUAUUCCUUUGGGGUGAUCAUUCUACAGCUAAUCACUGGAAGGCCUCCUUUUGGGUUGGUAGGUGAGGUGCGUAGAACAAUGUCAUGCGGGAAAUUAGCCUCAAUUUUGGAUCCUUCUGCUGGAGAAUGGCCAACAUUUGUGGCAAAAAGAUUGGUUGACUUGGGUCUGCAGUUCUGUGAAUUGAGUGGCAGGAAAGAGACCUGAGUUGACACCUGCUCUCGUGAGAGAAUUGGAACAGUUGCAUGCUUCAGAAGAGCGACCAGUGCCAUCUUUCUUUUUGUGUCCCAUCCUUCAGGAAAUAAUGCAUGAUCCCCAGUUGGCAGCUGAUGGUUUCACAUAUGAAGGUGAAGCCAUACGUGGAUGGUUGGAAAAUGGCCGGGAAACAUCUCCAAUGACUAAUUUGAAGUUGAGUCACUUGCAUCUUAUUCCCAACCAUGGGCUGCGUCUUGCAAUUCAAGACUGGCUAUGCAAAUCUUAAAAUCCCAUUGAUUCAUGAAUGUAGUAUUUCGUGUUGUAAUCAUGUACAGAUGUGAAUUAUAUGCCGUCCCUGCUGCAUCUUUGUAAAUAAAAUGCAUAACAGAUAAGUGAUUUUUGUAACAUUUUGUACGAGGAUUUUUUAGACGAAGAAGUAAAUGACUAAAA